rnacentral:rRNA from 2 species
CCUACGGGAGGCAGCAGUGGGGAAUCUUGGACAAUGGGCGCAAGCCUGAUCCAGCCAUGCCGCGUGAGUGAAGAAGGCCUUAGGGUUGUAAAGCUCUUUUACCAGGGACGAUAAUGACGGUACCUGGAGAAUAAGCCCCGGCAAACUUCGUGCCAGCAGCCGCGGUAAU